UAUACCCUACGGGGCGCAGCAGUGGGGAAUAUUGCACAAUGGGGGAAACCCUGAUGCAGCGACGCCGCGUGAAGGAAGAAGUAUUUCGGUAUGUAAACUUCUAUCAGCAGGGAAGAAAGUGACGGUACCUGACUAAGAAGCCCCGGCUAACUACGUGCCAGCAGCCGCGGUAAUACGUAGGGGGCAAGCGUUAUCCGGAUUUACUGGGUGUAAAGGGAGCGUAGGCGGCGAUGCAAGUCAGAAGUGAAAGCCCGGGGCUCAACUCCGGGACUGCUUUGAAACUGUAUGGC
rnacentral:rRNA from 1 species